UUUUUCUCACUGGCGUCUUUGGAAGAGCAGAAAUUUUUGGUAUUUAUGACAUCCAGUUUAUCAACUUUUUCUUUUACAUUAGUGCUUCUCAUGUCCUUUUAAAGAAAUAUUUGCCUACCCCAAGGCGGUGGAGAUUUCUUCUAGAAGCUUUGCAGCGCACCCUUGACUGUCAGAUGACUCAUCUUGAGUUCCUGUUUUGUGUGAUGUGAUGUGCCACUAAAGGUUCAUUUCUUCCUCGUCGUCUGCGCAGCUGUCCCGGCACCGCUGGUUGGAAAGGCUGUCCUUGGCCUGCUUUGGUGCCCUUUCAAGAAGACCAGCAGAAGGCAGGACCAAUCUGCUCUUACGGCUGCAGGUCCCAGAGGCACCGGGUGUGAGCCAGUGUGACUGGGGAGCGGGCCUCCCCUGGCAGGUGACGGGGCGGGCGGCACGCUGAGCAGUGAGGCCCGGAGGCCAGCAGCGUGGACUUGAACCUCCGGCGUCGGCAGCAAGCCAGUCUGUGUCUCCGGGGAGGAGACCGCGGGCCGGCCUCCGAGGACCCGGAGCCUGGCUUCCCGCUGCACCCGCUGCGGUGAGCGGCGUCCAGUGGGCUGAGAGCGGCCCUGCGCAGGCAGGUUGGGAGCAUCAGAUGCAAUUGGACUGCACAGCCUCGCGGCUCCCCCUGCUCUGGAACUGGGGGCUUUUCUCACUCUUCUGGCCCUGGCCACACAUCUUUGGUGC
rnacentral:lncRNA from 1 species